GCUGGGCGUGGUGGCGUGCGCCUGUAGUCCCAGCUACUUGGGAGGCUGAGGUGGGAGAAUCGCUUGAACCCAGGAGGCGGAGUUUGCAGUGAGCCAAGAUUACGCCACUGCACUCCAGCCUGGUGACAGAGCGAGACUCCAUCUCAA
ensembl:misc_RNA Metazoa_SRP Metazoan signal recognition particle RNA